UGCCGAUGAUGAUUUUAAUUUGCUACUCUUGAUGGUGCAUGAUGAAAAGUAAACCACCCAUUUUAAUCUGAGGCA